ensembl:snRNA U6 U6 spliceosomal RNA
GUGCUUGCUUUGGCCUCACAUAUACUAAAAUUAGAAUGAUACAGAGAUUAGCACGGCCCCUGUGCAAGGAUGGCACACAAAUUCAUGAAGUGUUCCAUAUUUAA